AAUGAACGCUGGCGGCGUGCCUAACACAUGCAAGUCGGAUGUGCCCGCAAGGGUGCAUGGCAGACGGGUGAGUAACGCGUGGAAAACCUACCUCUUUGUGGGGAAUAACGCUCCGAAAGGAGUGGUAAUACCGCAUGAGACCCGGAGCUGGGAUGCUUCGGGUGAAACCUGGGGACCGCAAGGCCUGGGGCAAGGAGAGGGUUCUGCGUCUGAUUAGCUAGUUGGCGGGGUAACGGCCCACCAAGGCGACGAUCAGUAGCCGGCCUGAGAGGGUGAUCGGCCACACUGGAACUGAGACACGGUCCAGACUCCUACGGGAGGCAGCAGUGGGGAAUUUUGCGCAAUGGGCGAUAGCCUGACGCAGCAACGCCGCGUGAGUGAUGAACGUCUUCGGAUCGUAUAGCUCUGUCGUCGGGAACGAACGUUGCGGGUUGAACAGGUUCGUAAUUUGACGGUACCCGAAUAGGAUAGCCCCGGCUCACUCUGUGCCCGCAGCCGCGGGAAUACUGAGGGGGCAAGGGUUAUUCGGAAUUAUUGGGCGUAAAGGGAGCCUAAGCAGCGGUUUCAAUGAAGUGUGCAAUCCCCGGGCUUAAACUGAGAACUGCCCCUCAAACUGGAACCCUAUAAAUAUUGGGGAAGGUGGGUAUUAUCUCCACCUGUAUCGGUGCAAUGGCAUAAAAACGCGCGAGGAUAUACACGGGCCUAAGCGUGUACCUCGGACCCAAUAUGGCCGCCUAAGUCGAGUUAUUUUGUGUCACAUAACGGGCCUGCUACCCCUUGGUACCUCCACACGGUCACAGAAUUAAUACCUCGGUCGCGGUGUGGGACAUGAACCUGGGUGGUGGACGUGACCUUACCGUGAAACAUUGGCCCGUCUAGGUGAAUUACAAGCUGCUAACGGCACAA
rnacentral:rRNA from 1 species